UACGGAGGGGGCUAGCGUUGUUCGGAAUUACUGGGCGUAAAGCGCACGUAGGCGGCUUUGUAAGUUAGAGGUGAAAGCCCGGAGCUCAACUCCGGAAUUGCCUUUAAGACUGCAUCGCUAGAAUUGUGGAGAGGUGAGUGGAAUUCCGAGUGUAGAGGUGAAAUUUCGUAGAUAUUCGGAAGAACACCAGUGGCGAAGGCGACUCACUGGACACAUAUUGACGCUGAGGUGCGAAAAGCGUGGGGGAG
rnacentral:rRNA from 1 species